GUACUUUUAGGAAAUCAAAUUCAGAAGGAAGCACAUACAAGGAAUAAUAAUAUCUAGCCUUGAGAGAUAAAGAAAGGAUAACAAGUUCCAAAUGUAUUCAUGAACAGCGUGUGCUUGAUAAGAAAGCAAAAGUAACCACGUCGUGCUGGUCUGCAAGUGGGAGCUGGAAGAAUGUUAUAGCUCCUAACAUGGGAAACGUUGACUAGCUGAGUGAAAGAAAGGAUAUCAGUCAAUAAGUGCUCCACGUAUGCACAUGCCAGGAAUAAAGUCUGUGCAAUUUAAUCCCUGUUUCUGAUGGAAUGAGCUGGGCAAGGGCUGGUGAGUUGAGGGCUCCUACUUCUUUCUGGAGUAGGGAUGCAGCUCAAACAAGGUCUGGAGCCUGAUUUAGGAGGGAAGGCUGGAGUGCUCAACCUUGCCUUCCUCUGCAACAAGCCUGGUGGUGGUACCCAGAGAUGAGGACACUGAGGCAUAUACAAAGGUCAAGCAAUCUGCCCAGGUGUUUCAGGGCUGGAAGGCAUCAACUGAGGAUUUAAAAUCAGUAAAUCCGGCUCCAGAGUCUAUGAUCUGAACUCCUCUACAACUUGUAUUUUAAAAUGAAACUGGAAAAAUAAAUACGACUAUCAAAGAAUAACACUAAUGGAAGCAAACCAGCCCUAACCACUAUCUCAAGAUAGGACAGACAGCGUGCUACUAUAUGAGAAGAGAUCAAGGCAGUUGGUGGAACAAAACCAAUCACUAAGAAACAGAAUCCAUUGUGUACAUCAGUUUAAUUAAAGGUGUUUCUGAAAUCAGAGACAGACAUUUUAAUAAAUUUUGUUAGCACAACAUGCUAAAACUGCAAGGGGAAUGUAAAGAUUCACUUUCAAUUGUGGAUUUUUCUUUUCACCAUCCACAAACAGAAAUCCCAGCUGGA
rnacentral:lncRNA from 10 species